AUUCUGGUGUCCUAGGCGUGGAGGAACCACACCAAUCCAUCCCGAACUUGGUGGUUAAACUCUACUGCGGUGACGAUACUGUAGGGGAAGCCCUGCGGAAAAAUAGCUCGACGCCAGGAUGAUAAAAAGCUUAACGCCUC
rnacentral:rRNA from 2 species